UGAGGGAAACACAUCAAAAUAAGAGGAGAACUACGACACAACAGAAACACAACAUUCAAAUGUAACACACACAGAAACGAACUAUAAUAUAACGAUGGCCAUUUUCCUGACUUAGUACAGGACAUUUUAAGAAAAAAAUGGUGGGUUGAACCUGGUUUUGUGGCUAGCCAAACCUCCCGCUUUUAUGGCAAUGUUAAAUGUAACAUUAAAAUGGCAACAUUACAUGACAGGACUACAAUACAAAUAAAUGGGAGAACAUAUAGGACAGAGAAACAUACGAAUAAUAGCUAACAAAAGGUACCAGGUUUAAAAUUUAACACACAAGACGCGCGUUUCGUCCACACAUGACUAACCAGUGUCGCUCAGAUAAAAAAAGUACGAAAGCCAAAACAAGUACAAAGUUGAAGAGCAUUGAAGACCAAAAGUUCCAAAAAGUUGUGCCAAAUACGGCUAAGGUUAUAUGUCUAGGAUAAGAAAAUCCUUAGUAUUUAGAAUAAUUCAUACUUUUGCAAACAGUAAAUUUAUAAAAAUGACUAUAUAAUAGAUAUACAACAUGAUAACACCGAAGUGGUGACUAACUACAGAAUAAAAACGGAUACAUAAAACAACAUAAACCAGCACAUAAAAAUUCACAGCCGAGUUAGCCAAAGAGAUCAACGCAAAAAAAAAAAGAAAAAAAAAAAAAAAAAAAAAAAAAAAAAAAGGGUGACGUCACAUUUGAAUUUCUUGAUGUGGUUACUAUCGGAACGAUGUCUGGCCAGAGAGUCACAUUCCCUCAUGAAAAAACUGAUAGUUUAGGGACAAUCAUUUGAUAUUUUCAGUGGGGUAGGGUACUAGGAUAAUCUGACAUUGCAACUACACAUGCAGUGAUUGUUUUGAAGAAAUUUGCGUUCAAUUUUUUUGAGGGAUUAACGUUGUAAUAAAUGUAUCAACCAGGAAGUUGCCGAAUGACAGAUUUAUUUCCCAUUUCGUGUAUGUUGUUGAAAAACGACACGUUUGCCAGUUACGUUGCCUCCAACGGGACAAUUAGAUAUUUUGACCUGAAUGAAACGGGUGUCGUCGAUCGGAAAUAAAUACAUGCUUCUUAUAGAAGAAUAAUUUUGGAAUGAAAUGAAUGCCUUUGUAAGAUAUAUAGUCACAUUGAAAUAUUUUAAUCUAUUUUUUAUUGAAAUAAGGGAAGGUUAUUCAAAAUGGCGACUAAGAUCCCUUUAGGAUUUUUCAGUAUACGGAUAUGGAGAGUAAACAUAGCUAGAAAAAAAAGAAAGAUUGAUGCCAAAGUUAGAUAAGUUAAUAAUAAUAAUAUAUAAUAAAGUACGCUGUAUUAAAAGUAUUUACAAGCACGAGGUCUAACCAGUCAACAAUCACAUCUGCAUAAUAUAUAUUAAACCGACCUGCUGACCUAAAAUGUAAGGAACGCCCAUCAAACACAUUGUACAAUUGAAAAUACUAAUUGUUGCUAGUAAAAAUGAAUUUUAGAAUGAAAUGAAACUUGUACAACAGGCAGCAUGAACAAGAUUCAGAAAGUCAAAAUGACAGAAAGUCAAUGUUCAGAAAGUCAAAAUGGAUGAUCAAUCGGAUUCUAAAAGUUGAUUCUGGUCUAAGAUUUUAUAAAGUAACGACUUAUUUGGAUAUGAAUCACUUUGGAAAAGAAUAUUCAAACAAAAAACAGUAUUCUCUUUUAAAACAGUAUGUCAAAUUGAAGAUUAUUCAACACCGUGUUGAAAAUAUUUUAAGACAUUCAAUUAAAAAGUGCUUUUAUCUCAUUUUCAAGCGUAAUCGAACAAAAUUAGCAUUUCGAUUGUUCUUGGGUUAUUUCAUCAAGAAUCAACGAUAUUUUAACACAAGAACAAAAAAUCACGCAAAGAGAAAAUGUUCGGAAGAUCAAUGUAUAAGAAAUCAAUCGAAAAUCAAUUCUAUAAUUGAAACAGAAACGAAUAACAAAAAUGAACCAGAACCUAAUUACAGAAUUAACACAGAGUUUGCAAACGAUAUCAAUAGAUAUGGAAAUAGUUUCUCAAUGGUAAAUAAACUUCGAAUUGAUGAAAUUCUCACACGAAGAACAAUAAAAAUGAGCAGUCCGUUUGAAAGACAACUUUCACUUGCCAAAUGGAUAUAUGGAGGACCAAAAGAAAUUUUGGAAGCCGGGUUUACAUAUACUGGGAAAUUAGACUUACUUUACUGCGAGACGUGUGAAACUAGGACUUCAUAUCUUGAAUGGAUCGGAGGAAAGACGCCAACGGAAGCACAUUGUAAUCUGAGUCCAAAUUGCGAACUAGCUAAGUCACAAGCUCAGUUCAUAACAAAUAAUGUCUUAUAUAAUAGAAAUUAUUUGCAUCCAAAAUAUGAAAAUUCGUUUGAACGUGUUUCCUCGUUUGGCAAAUAGCAUUAUGGCGACACCCAAUCAUACGUGAGUCUUGUCGAUGCAGGAUUUUUCUACAAAGGUUGGUCAGACUAUACUGUUUGUUUUUGUUGUGGACUUUGGGUUGCGGAAUGGGAAAAAAACGAAGAUCCUUGGAUAGUCCAUGCUAAAUAUUGUCCUGGGUGCAUAUUUCUGAAAAAGUCAAAAGGCUUGGAAUAUAUUAGGGAUGUACAGAAAGAGUGGAGAAAGAUUUACAAACCCUUAAAUCCAGAUAUGGAAGAGGAAGAACACAGAAUCAAAACAUUCAAGUUAUCGGAAGAGUAUAAUGGGAGUAAAAAAGCAGAAGCACUUGCGAAAGCUGGUUUCUUUCUAGGUUUAUGUUGUAAUGCAAACAUAUAUUUUCAUUGCAAAUGCUAAAAACAUGCAUUGUAUAUAAUUUCUAUGUUUAGAAAAAAAAACUUUUUUGAAAAAGAUAAAACAUCUUUUAUGUUGAGUAAUAAAAAGCAUAUUCCUAAAAGAAUAACCACCUUUUAUACAAUCUGUGUACAGAAAAAAUAUGUAUGGUAGUACGAAUAAUUUCAUGCUAUGUUCUAGUUUUAAAGUAUAUAAUUUAUUUAUGUUUUCUUUCAAAUUGUUUAUUUAUUCACUGUUGAUCAAUCAUUAAUAUUAAAGUAAUCUUGAAUUUAACGAAAAGGAAAAAUGUCACAAUAACUUAAUAGUGUUUAAGAGGAAGAACAAUUUGUCUUGAUAAGUAUGAUCACCUGUGUUCAAAGAAUUAUUUACAUUUAAAGUAUACAUUUAAGACAUACAGAAUACUAUAAUAAUGAUGACGACGACGACGAUAGUACGUGAUAAUAAUGAUGAAUCAGGUAAAAUUACUUUUUUGUAGAAUGCAUUGCAAGAGAAAAACUAAAAGUAGUGUGUAAUUAUUGUAAUUGCAACCUAGAGCCCUGAAUAAAUGAGUGUGACCCUUGGGUUGUGCAUGUAAAACGGAUGACAGAAUGUAAGUUCGUGGAAAUAAGGAAAGGAAAGAAAUUCAUUUCAAGGAUAUUAUCUAGCAGAGAUCGACCAUAAAAUACUCAAAUCAUAAAAUACACUAUUGCAAAUGUGAAAAUACUAGUUAUAUGCAAAUACACAAGUCAAAACGAUCACAAUUUAUAUGGUCAUUGAGAUAGAUCAUUUGGGAAUAUUCAGAACGGCUGCAUGUACAGUAUAUAUAUCUUGAAAGAAGUACCUGCAUAGAGAUCCGUAAGUUCUGCAAACGAUUAUCCAGAAGCACUGUUUCAUGGUAAACAAACAGGAAAAGACAUGAAGGUAAAACAAAUAUUGGACUUGAAAACAAAAAUGAGCAGGUGUUUUUAAAUACAUUGUCUUACAUGUCUACUAGUAUUAUAAAGACUUUGUCCGAAAAUGUAUUCCCCAUACAUCAUCAGUUCCUGUCAUGCAUUCACAUAUCAAAGUUUAAUCGAUAGGAAAGACGAAAAUCACAAUAUCUGACCAAGCUACUAAUUUAGGAAUAACCAGAUCAUUCAAAAACGAAAAUAUAAUGAAUGUCGAUGAAAGAAUUUGUCUGGUUAGAGUAACAUUCUACUCACUGAUUAAAACAGGCGUUCAUGAAACUAGUGGAUAAAACCCACGUGUUAGAAAAUAUAUAUUACCUUGUCUCCUGUACAGCUUAGAGGUAUUGCCAUGACAUAUGAGGCAACUGAAUGUGCUUACUAGUUACUUCCAGCUAACCAUUUCUGGGAAACUUUCAAUCUAUGCUCACCAGGACAGGGUAGGCAAAAAUUACACAUUAAUUUACUUGGUACUCUUCUUCUCGAGACUGAGCUUUAUAAGUGACAACUGAGGCUAUUCUAAUUUCGGAAAAUCAAAGACUAAGGAAAUUCUACUACUACAUUAUCGUCUCCAAAUUAAUAAAGGGAUUAUUCUAGAAAGAACGGAAUCUUUUAUAGAAAAAUAUAAUUCGCUUCAAAAGAGGAACUUUGGGAAAACACACCAACCAAAAUUAAUUGAAAACAUACAUCAAGAUCUGCAAUCACCGAAUUCUGAAAUGAAUGGCUGAAAACAGAAAUUUCUCAAAAAAUAAACCUUCAUCGGCUUUAAAUAAACUUAAUAAAUAUUGGAGAAACUCAUCCAGUUUGGAACACAGCUUUGAAUGUAUCAGGAGAAUCAAAAAGAGCACGUGCUCAUGCUUGAAUUCUAACUGGAAUUUACAUGUUACAAGCAAACAGGUCAAAAUUAACCAGGAAAGAUAACAAGAGCACUUGUUAAAGCUAUUAUUAUAUUUGGAACUUAUAUAUUACAAGCAAACGAGUCAAAUUUUAAUAUAAACAAUGUAGAUUCAACAUGUUCAAUCUGUCCGAUCUGUCGAAUUGAAGACGAAAAUUGCAUUCACUUUAUUAUCAGAUAUCCAGCUCUAGAGGGUAUCCGUUGAAAUCAUUAUGGAUGCAAUAAAUAAGAUUUUGUCCUUAAAAUUGGAAGUAGUCAGUGGAAUAAGUUUCGAAAUAAAGACAUUAUCAGCCAGUUAAUUACAGAUUGCAGAAAACUUACUGGAGAAUAUUUUCCUCACGAUAUCGCGCUAAUGAACGAUAUAUCUCGUAAGAUGUGCUUCGAUCUGUAUGUUAAGAGAUUUAACUCAAUAAACACAAGUAAGUGAUAGUGAAUAACUUGUAUCUAGUCCUAAAUUUUCUGACUAAUCAAUUGAUGUUAUUAUAAAUGUUCACCUUAGUGCUUGGACAUUGGAAAGCUAAAAUAUAGCAUUAUUCAAGCUGAAUCUGUGUGGCUUAGCAUGCCUGCUAGAAUGACAGUAGUAUUAAUGGCCUUGUCUUUCUAUGUUGUGUUGACGACGGAACCAUCAAAUUAAUAAUAAUUUUGUUUUGAAAAAAUUCAAUCUGAAAUUUUUACCUUUUACAAACAUAACUUUUUGAAACCAUACGUACUUUUAUGGUAGAAGUGUUUUAGUGUUAUAUUAUGGAGAAUACUUUUAAAGUCACUGUGGAAUUUCAGUGUGCCCGUGUAAUAAAAGCCAUCUUUUCCAUGCUUAAUUUGUACCCGUGUGUGAUAAGCCCUGACUUAUAAUAAAUCUUUUUGGAUGUACUCUUCAUUAACAGAAGAAAGAUACAGGAAAAUAAGAAGAAGAUUGAUUUGCGGUUUCAUAAUAGCCAUUUAUAUAGAGACAGCCAUGGAUAUGAGAAUGAUUUAGUCAGAGCAUGAAGGAAAAAUUAAAGCACGGAGAAUAGGAUUCUUGAUGAACUAAAUAUCUAAUAGAGGUUGAAGAAAGAACUCGUGGAAGAUUCAAUAAAAGAACAAUUUUUUUUAUUGCUAUUAAAUAUGCAAAUAUU